CCCUGCCUCCUGCACAGAACACUGACUCCUUGCAACCCCAACAGCACAAUAAAAACCCGAUGGAGCCGGAGCCACGACCCGGAGCAAGGGAACCCCGGUGGGAACGCAUCCCUCCUCCAGCAGCCACCGCUCAGGCGCCGGCCGGACCGGGAGGUCUUUAUGGGACAGACCUGAUGCUGUUCCCACCAGGAACAUUGCCCUGAGGAGCUGCUGAGGACACACAAGGGGGUCAGUAAACCAUGGAGCAGCACCCACCCCACAGGCAUGCCCAUCCCCACUGCCCACCCCGGUCCUCUGGAGCACUGAUGGUGAUGUUCAUCCUGGCACCUCUUUCCUGGCCCCAAAUGGCAGAGAACCCAAUAAAAGAGGUGAGUUCUUCAGGCAGCCCCUCUGCACCCCUGACCCAUGGCUGCCAAGCUCUCCUGGGCCCCAGCGGCACAUAAAGGGUUUCUCCCUCGUCCGGCGAUAGGCCUGUAGCAUCUGGCUUGUCCCCAAAUACAGAAGGGAAAUGGCUAUUCAGCACUUCUGCUGCCUGAUUGCUAGUAACAGCUCCACCGUUCCUCUUCCUCCGUGGACCCGCUCCACCACUGGGCAGCUGCUGCCUUUUGUGAGCUUCAUCUUGGGAAACUAAGUUGUCAUCUCCCGUCCAGCACCACCGGUUCCCCUGACUCACCUUCUGCAUGUGCUUCCUAUCUGUCACCAUUUGCUUCCACCUACAAUAGGAAAUGGCAUCAAUAUCCAUGGAAAAGUUGUGGGAUGGUCAAUGGAGACAUGCUUGAUGUCUGCUGGGGCCCAGGGCUGAGCUGGAUUUGCUCCAUCUCAGGUCACCAGGGGUUCCCCUGGGAUCUGGGCUCCCGGUGCUGCAGGACCAGCUUCCCUGACCCCAUCCUGGCUCACCCAUGCCAGCAGCAAGCUCCUGUGAGGACCACACACGACUGGCUGUGCCAGGACCAUCCCUGGCACCCCUGCGUGCUCUGCGGGGGGGUGACCACCCCAGCGACAGGGACAGAUCCUGCCACGCCAACAGGGAUUGAAAUCCCAAUUGGAAAACGCCUGUGGGCAGGACAGGGCCCCCGCCCUGACGCCACGGAGAUGGGCUCCCGGACAGGGGGUCUGCUCUGAGCUUUGGGUCUCCCUGCAGGGCACUUAUUUCCCCUGGAGCAUCCCAGGAAGGGACAUGGAGCCCUGUGGGCCUUGGGGCAGUGGGAUUGGGAGCAGGGUCUCAGCUUGUACGCAAGGAUACUUUACUUGCUGCUUCUUGCUGACCGGCUGUUUUAUAUCAAGGCGGGAGGGGGGAUUUGCUGUUCUAGAUGGUAUUUUAAUGGGCAGGCAGGCAGCUGGAGCCUGGGAGAAGCCUGCUUUACAUUGUUUGGGGUUGUAACAAAUAAAUUAAAUUAAAGGCAAAUGGCUCCGA